rnacentral:rRNA from 1 species
UCCUGACUGACCGAUAGUGAACCAGUACCGUGAGGGAAAGGCGAAAAGAACCCCGGCGAGGGGAGUGAAAAAGAACCUGAAACCGUGUACGUACAAGCAGUGGGAGCACGCUUAGGCGUGUGACUGCGUACCUUUUGUAUAAUGGGUCAGCGACUUAUAUUCUGUAGCAAGGUUAACCGAAUAGGGGAGCCGAAGGGAAACCGAGUCUUAACUGGGCGUUAAGUUGCAGGGUAUAGACCCGAAACCCGGUGAUCUAGCCAUGGGCAGGUUGAAGGUUGGGUAACACUAACUGGAGGACCGAACCGACUAAUGUUGAAAAAUUAGCGGAUGACUUGUGGCUGGGGGUGAAAGGCCAAUCAAACCGGGAGAUAGCUGGUUCUCCCCGAAAGCUAUUUAGGUAGCGCCUCGUGAAUUCAUCUCCGGGGGUAGAGCACUGUUUCGGCAAGGGGGUCAUCCC